AGCGAACGCUGGCGGCAGGCUUAACACAUGCAAGUCGAACGGGCACUUCGGUGCUAGUGGCAGACGGGUGAGUAACGCGUGGGAACGUGCCUUUCGGUUCGGAAUAACCCAGGGAAACUUGGACUAAUACCGGAUACGCCCUUCGGGGGAAAGAUUUAUCGCCGAAAGAUCGGCCCGCGUCUGAUUAGCUAGUUGGCGAGGUAAAGGCUCACCAAGGCGACGAUCAGGAGCUGGUCUGAGAGGAUGAUCAGCCACAUUGGGACUGAGACACGGCCCAAACUCCUACGGGAGGCAGCAGUGGGAAAUAUUGGACAAUGGGCGCAAGCCUGAUCCAGCCAUGCCGCGUGAGUGAUGAAGGCCUUAGGGUUGUAAAGCUCUUUUGUCCGGGAAGAUAAUGACUGUACCGGAAGAAUAAGCCCCGGCUAACUUCGUGCCAGCCGCCGCCGUAA
rnacentral:rRNA from 1 species